UGAGGAACAUGACCUUCGGCGGGGGAUAGCCGGCCCAACGGCCGGGUAAUACCGCGUACGACCACAUGGGGACAUCCCUGAGUGGUGAAAGCAGCAAUGCGCCGAUGGAGUGCCUCGCGGCCUAUCAGCUAGUUGGUGAGGUAACGGCUCACCAAGGCAACGACGGGUAGCUGGUCUGAGAGGAUGGCCAGCCACAGUUGGGACUGAGACACGGCCCAGACUNUACGGGAG
rnacentral:rRNA from 1 species